rnacentral:lncRNA from 1 species
AGUAGCCGCUUACUUUGGAUUAGACCACAAUGUUGAUCAGAGUGGGAAGUCUGUCAUAGUAAACAAAACUAGCAAUACAAGAAUGGAGAUUACCCGCUCCAGCCUUGAAUCAGUGGUGUUAUGGAUGUCAACAACCCAGUGUCCACUGGGGUGUCUCAAUGGAGCGGGAAGUUGGCGAUUACAGGGCAGUAAAUUCAGGCAUCUAUAAAAGAAUGAGGUAAGACAGUCUUAAGGUUAGCUGAAAUGCCUGCCAGUGCUGUUGGUGUGGGAAUCCAGCUGCUCUUAGAAAAGUUGCCAGGCCCUUGGUUAAACCUUAUAGUUCACUUUGGAAUAGCAGUCUCUCGUUCAAAUAUAAACUCCAUGAAUAAGAAAAUGUGACUUUGAACAGUUACAAAGAUAGAUGACAUAAGUCAAUGGGGCAAUCAUGUGACAAAAAUAACAUACUGCCAUGGUCAGAACUAAAUAAAAAUCUUUCAAACCCUUGAAGAAAAUACUCUUUUUCUUAUUAUUUUGAUCACAAAGCUGUUUUUCGUCUUCCUAUUUUUCUUUUACUUCUUACAUAUAUUUAUGUACAAAUCUGUUCUCUAUUUCACCCAUCUAAGUAUUUUACAAUAGAAAUUUCAUUAACUUGCUUAGAUAAUUCUCACUUUUAAUCUCCUUUUGCAUAAUUUGACAGGAGGCUUUUACGUACUUUAUUAGAAAUUCAUAGGUUAAAAUAAAUGUUCAAAAGUAUUACUUCGGUUCUAGGGCCAGGCGCAAUGUCUCACGCCUGUAAUCCCAGCACUUUGGGAGACUGAGGCAGGUGGAUCACUUGAGGUCGGGAGUGUGCAACCAGCCUGGCCAAUAUGAUGAAACCCCAUCUCUACU